GGGUUGUGAGGUUAAGCGACUAAGCGUACACGGUGGAUGCCCUGGCAGUCAGAGGCGAUGAAGGACGUGCUAAUCUGCGAUAAGCGCCGGUAAGGUGAUAUGAACCGUUAUAACCGGCGAUUUCCGAAUGGGGAAACCCAGUGUGAUUCGUCACACUAUCAUUAACUGAAUCCAUAGGUUAAUGAGGCGAACCGGGGGAACUGAAACAUCUAAGUACCCCGAGGAAAAGAAAUCAACCGAGAUUCCCCCAGUAGCGGCGAGCGAACGGGGAGGAGCCCAGAGCCUGAAUCAGCAUGUGUGUUAGUGGAAGCGUCUGGAAAGGCGCGCGAUACAGGGUGACAGCCCCGUACACAAAAGCGCAUGUGCUGUGAGCUCGAUGAGUAGGGCGGGACACGUGGUAUCCUGUCUGAAUAUGGGGGGACCAUCCUCCAAGGCUAAAUACUCCUGACUGACCGAUAGUGAACCAGUACCGUGAGGGAAAGGCGAAAAGAACCCCGGCGAGGGGAGUGAAAAAGAACCUGAAACCGUGUACGUACAAGCAGUGGGAGCACAGGUUUACCUGUGUGACUGCGUACCUUUUGUAUAAUGGGUCAGCGACUUAUAUUCUGUAGCAAGGUUAACCGAAUAGGGGAGCCGGAGGGAAACCGAGUCUUAAUUGGGCGUUAAGUUGCAGGGUAUAGACCCGAAACCCGGUGAUCUAGCCAUGGGCAGGUUGAAGGUUGGGUAACACUAACUGGAGGACCGAACCGACUAAUGUUGAAAAAUUAGCGGAUGACCUGUGGCUGGGGGUGAAAGGCCAAUCAAACCGGGAGAUAGCUGGUUCUCCCCGAAAGCUAUUUAGGUAGCGCCUCGUGAAUUCAUCUCCGGGGGUAGAGCACUGUUUCGGCUAGGGGGCCAUCCCGGCUUACCAACCCGAUGCAAACUGCGAAUACCGGAGAAUGUUAUCACGGGAGACACACGGCGGGUGCUAACGUCCGUCGUGAAGAGGGAAACAACCCAGACCGCCAGCUAAGGUCCCAAAGUCAUGGUUAAGUGGGAAACGAUGUGGGAAGGCCCAGACAGCCAGGAUGUUGGCUUAGAAGCAGCCAUCAUUUAAAGAAAGCGUAAUAGCUCACUGGUCGAGUCGGCCUGCGCGGAAGAUGUAACGGGGCUAAACCAUGCACCGAAGCUGCGGCAGCGACACUGUGUGUUGUUGGGUAGGGGAGCGUUCUGUAAGCCUGUGAAGGUGGCCUGUGAGGGUUGCUGGAGGUAUCAGAAGUGCGAAUGCUGACAUAAGUAACGAUAAAGCGGGUGAAAAGCCCGCUCGCCGGAAGACCAAGGGUUCCUGUCCAACGUUAAUCGGGGCAGGGUGAGUCGACCCCUAAGGCGAGGCCGAAAGGCGUAGUCGAUGGGAAACGGGUUAAUAUUCCCGUACUUGGUGUUACUGCGAAGGGGGGACGGAGAAGGC
rnacentral:rRNA from 1 species